CAGGGGGAGCGGGCAGGAGCAGACGCCUCGGGAGGACUCCUGGCUGUCUUCGGCGGCACUGCGUGCGGUGAUUAUGGACUGAGUGGAGCAGCAGUGCUGAAAAAUGUGCAAGUUUGAGAGGCGUCUCCAGCACAAGAUACCUUCCUGGAAGCUCACCUUGUGAUCAGAAUGGGGCUGCCAUCCAGUGGAGAUACUGUCAGGUGGUGGAAAAUUGAAAAAUCCCAUUUUUUUCUCAUUUGGCUUUAUUGCUUUACUUCUGGAGUCUUACACCCCUGAUUCCAGGGCCAUCCCUGAAGUUUCAAGUAUUUGCAACUCUCUGAAUACUGUAUCAAUAUGAACAGAACUGAAUGUGCUGAUCCUGUGGUCCUCCCUGGAAUUAUCCCGUUGAUUUAAAUGGCACUUUUGAUUAGAAAUGAGUUUGUAUGACCAGUCUAUUGCUUGAACACAUGUGGUACUUGGUGAGAAAUGAAUAUUGGUACUCAAAAAUCAAUCAGAGGUCAGCAAAGGGCUCUCUUUCUGGAGGGAACUGCAAAAUUCUGAGUUGGAGAUGUCAAUGCCUUUGAGGAUCAGUGCCCUGCUUUAAUUGAUAACAGGACUCCUGCAGUCUUAAAGAGAAUGCGAGAGCAGUCCCUGCAACGGAAAAUCCCAGUGACAAUGGCAGUCGCCUGGGAAAUGAGAAUUCCAGGGUAGUGCCUGCUUUCCCAGAUUCAAACUAGGAUCUUAAUUUGAAUCUACUAGAAAAGAGAACCAUGUUGCACAGGUCAUAGUGGUCUGGGGUAGCUGUGCCAGACUGUACUGAAGACAGUUACUAAGACAUCUUGCCCUAUAAAGCUGCACCUGGGCACUAUGCUAGUUGUGGAGGACGUGGCACAUGCCAACGUGAAGGACAACUAUGCUAACAAAUAAUUUGGAUGAUACUAGGGAAAAUUCUUCUAAUCUAGUUUGGAAAUGUCUUUGAACAAUCUGAAGAUUGUUAAAAGCAGAUGUCACAGCUGUCUUGAGUAUAGUGAGAAGGAGGAAAAGGAGCUCUCCUGAGAAGCCUGACGGUUUGCCACAAGUUGGUACUAAGCUGUGAGCCCCAAGUUCCCACAGGCAGUGACAAGUGAAAACCUGGACUGCGUUGCUGAAGAAGCAGGAGACAGUGAGAGGACAAGUGAGAUUACGACAACAGCCCUCUGACCUUUAGAAAGAAACAACUGUCACUUCCGGAAGCAUCCUGCUUUUCUGUCAAGUUUCAAGAAGAACACUGAAUACAGGUACGGUGUCAUUUGAAGACGUACAAAUAAGGAAUAAUGUGGAGUAAUUGAAUAGUGAGCAAAUCCACUUGAAAACAUUUGUUAGCAAGUCAGUCAAUAAAAUGUUGUUCCACACACUUCCGUUUGAAGAGCUUCUGAUUUUGUUACAUGCUGUCUUGCUUAGACUAUGCUACAUAUAAUGGUGCAUGCCUUUAAUCUUUAACAUAAAGAUUCCUUCCCCAUUAAAAUCCCCAUUAAG